ensembl:lncRNA
GCACUUAUGGGGCACCUGAAGGCACUUAUGGGGCACUUGAAGGCACUUAUGGGGCACUUGAAGGCACUUAUGGGGCUCACACAUCACUUAUGGGGCACCUGAAGGCACUUAUGGGGCAGGCCGUACUUAUGGGUCGCACUCACCCCUCCUCAUCCGACUCCCUCCCAUCCUCUUCAUCACUGAACUUCAGCUUCUCGCUGUAAUCCACCUCCUCGUGGGCUCCUGUGGGGCACAGCCGGCUGCUAUGGGGCAGCUAUGGGGCAGCUAUGGGGCAGCUAUGGGGCAGGGCUAUGGGGCAGCUAUGGGGCAGCUAUGGGGCAGGGCUAUGGGGCAGCUAUGGGGUCGCUAUGAGACAGUUAUGGGGCAGGGCUAUGGGGCUGCUAUGGGGCAGUUAUGGGGCUGCUAUGGGGCAGCUAUGGGGCAGGACUAUGGGGCAGUUAUGGGGCAGCUAUGGGGCAGGGCUAUGGGGCAGCUAUGGGGUCGCUAUGGGGCAGUUAUAGGGCAGCUAUGGGGUGGCUAUGUGUCGCUAUGGGGCAGUUGGUUAUGGGUCGCUAUGGGGCAGCUAUGGGGUGGUUCUGGGGUGGUUCUGGGUCGCUAUGGGUCGCUAUGGGGCAGUAAUGGGGUGGUUAUGGGGCGGUUAUGGGGUGGCUAUGGGUCGCUAUGGGUCGCUAUGGGGCAGCUAUGGGGUGGUUAUGGGGCGGUUAUGGGUCGCUAUUGGGCAGCUAUGGGGUGGUUAUGGGGUGGUUCUGUGUUGCUAUGGGUCGCUAUGGGGCAGUAAUGGGGUGGUUCCGGGUUGCUAUGGGUCGCUAUGGGGCAGUAAUGGGGUGGUUAUGGGGCGGUUACGGGGCAGUUAUGGGUCGCUAUGGGUCGUUAUGGGGCGGCUAUGGGUCGCUAUGGGGCAGUGAUGAGUUACUAUAAGUUGCUAUAGCUCACUAUGGGUCUCUGGGGUGGCUAUGGGUCGCUAUGGGGCAGUAAUGGGGUGGCUAUGGGUCGCUAUGGGGCAGUAAUGGGGUGGUUAUGGGGUGGCUAUGGGUCGCUAUGGGGCAGUUAUGGGUCGCUAUGGGGCAGUGAUGAGUUACUACAAGUUGCUAUAGCUCACUAUGGGUCUCUAUGGGGCGGCUAUGGGUCGCUAUGGGUUGCUAUGGGUCGCUAUGGGUCGCUAUGGGGCGGCUAUGGGUCGCUAUGGGUCGCUAUGGGUCGCUAUGGGUCGCUAUGGGGCGGCUAUGGGUCGCUAUGGGGCAGCUAUGGGGUGGUUCUGGGUCGCUAUGGGUCGCAAUGUGUCGCUAUGGGGCAGUUAUGGGGUGGCUAUGGGUCGCUAUGGGUCGCUAUGGGGCAGCCAUGGGUCGCUAUGGGGCGGUUAUGGGGUGGCUAUGGGUCGCAAUGUGUCGCUAUGGGGCGGUUAUGGGGUGGCUAUGGGUCGCUAUGGGUCGCUAUGGGGCGCUAUGGGUCGCUAUGGGUCGCUAUGGGGCGGUUAUGGGGUGGUUCUGGGUCGCAAUGUGUCGCUAUGGGGCAGUUAUGGGUCGCUAUGGGUCGCUAUGGGGUGGUUCUGGGUCGCUAUGGGUCGCUAUGGGGCGGCUAUGGGUCGCUAUGGGGCAGCUAUGGGGCGGCUAUGGGUCGCUGUGGGUCGCUAUGGGGCAGUAAUGGGGUGGUUAUGGGGCGGUUAUGGGGUGGCUAUGGGUCGCUAUGGGGCGGCUAUGGGUCGGCUAUGGGUCGCUGUGGGAUCGCUAUGGCGCAGCCGCCCACACUGCCCAUCACCGUCCGUCAUUGUCGGUGGUCCAGCUCAUCGAACUCCUUGAGCUCGUCGUGUUUCAGCACCGGGGGGCGCCCACCAACUCCCCCCCCCGCAAUGGGGGGCCACGAGGACGCUGCAGCCUGGGGGGGAACAAGGGGGUCAGCACGGCCGCGCCCCAUAGAAUCUGACCCAUAGAUCUGACGCAUAGCAUCUGCCGCCUAGAUCUGUCCCCCCCCCCCCCCCCCCCCCACCAUAGCUCUGGGCCGCCAUACCAGCUCUGGCCCCACUACCUUCACCCACCAUAGCUCUGCCAUUAUGCCUUGCCCUCACCAAGCCUUCCUAUAGCC